rnacentral:rRNA from 1 species
AGAGUUUGAUCCUGGCUCAGGAUGAACGCUGGCGGCGUGCCUAACACAUGCAAGUCGAGCGAGACUCCGGCAGAAGAGACUUCGGUUAAAUCAGUCGGACGAUAGCGGCGGACGGGUGAGUAACGCGUAGGCAAUCUGCCCCGUACAGAGGGAUAGCCGUUGGAAACGACGAGUAAGACCUCAUGAUGCAGCACUUUCACAUGGGAGAGCUGCCAAAGAUUUAUCGGUAUGGGAUGAGCCUGCGUCUGAUUAGCUGGUUGGUGAGGUAACGGCCCACCAAGGCGACGAUCAGUAGCCGACCUGAGAGGGUGAUCGGCCACAUUGGAACUGAGACACGGUCCAAACUCCUACGGGAGGCAGCAGUGGGGAAUAUUGCACAAUGGAGGGAACUCUGAUGCAGCAACGCCGCGUGAAGGAUGAAGGUUUUCGGAUCGUAAACUUCUGUCCAUGGGGACGAAGAAAGUGACGGUACCCGUGGAGGAAGCCCCGGCUAACUACGUGCCAGCAGCCGCGGUAAUACGUAGGGGGCGAGCGUUAUCCGGAAUUAUUGGGCGUAAAGAGUGCGUAGGUGGCCCACUAAGCGCAGGGUUUAAGGCAAUGGCUUAACUGUUGUUCGCCUUGCGAACUGGAGGGCUUGAGUUCAGGAGAGGAAAGUGGAAUUCCUAGUGUAGCGGUGGAAUGCGUAGAUAUUAGGAGGAACACCGGUGGCGAAGGCGACUUUCUGGACUGAUACUGACACUGAGGCACGAAAGCGUGGGGAGCAAACAGGAUUAGAUACCCUGGUAGUCCACGCCGUAAACGAUGAGCACUAGNNNUCGGGGCCGUAAAGGCUUCGGUGCCGCAGUUAACGCAAUAAGUGCUCCGCCUGGGGAGUAUGCACGCAAGUGUUAAACUCAAAGGAAUUGACGGGGACCCGCACAAGCAGCGGAGCAUGUGGUUUAAUUCGAAGCAACGCGAAGAACCUUACCAGGACUUGACAUCCCCCUGACAGGGCUUUAAAAGGCCCCUUCUUCGGACAGGGGAGACAGGUGGUGCAUGGUUGUCGUCAGCUCGUGUCGUGAGAUGUUGGGUUAAGUCCCGCAACGAGCGCAACCCUUGCCUUUAGUUGCCAUCAUCAAGUUGGGCACUCUAGAGGGACUGCCGGGGACAACUCGGAGGAAGGUGGGGAUGACGUCAAAUCAUCAUGCCCCUUAUGUUCUGGGCUACACACGUGCUACAAUGGCCGGUACAGCAGGAAGCGAAGCCGUGAGGCGGAGCGAACCCCAAAAGCCGGUCCCAGUUCGGACUGCAGGCUGCAACCCGCCUGCACGAAGUCGGAGUUGCUAGUAAUCGCGGAUCAGCACGCCGCGGUGAAUGCGUUCCCGGGUCUUGUACACACCGCCCGUCACACCAUGGAAGUUGGUGGUGCCCGAAGUCGGUCAACAAAUCUACUGCCUAAGGCAAAACCAAUGACUGGGGUGAAGUCGUAACAAGGUAACCGUA